AUACUGACCUGGCAGGGGAGAUGCCGUGGUCUGGGGGCAGUUCGCCCGGGGCGAGGCUCGGCUGUGCUGGCCCCUGCAGGUUCCCCAUGUGUGGCAGUCUUGACUGGAUAAUUUCUGGUGGGGACU
ensembl:snRNA U1 U1 spliceosomal RNA